rnacentral:lncRNA from 1 species
GGUUCGAGACUAGUGGUGGAUAGUGCUCAGCCUGUAGGCGGAUUGGAGGAUCAGUGUAAGGAGUUCGAGGUGUUGACCUGCUCUGACAAGACUGCACCCCAACAUGGGUAGGUUUCACAGCUUCAAGGUCCUCAACUGGUGACAGCAUGCCCUGCAGUUGAGGACAGUUCUUGACUCGAAGAAACAGGAGAGUACUAUCCACUUACUAGGGCUCUGACUGUUAGGUAGGGUUUGGACGGAUCGCUACCGUUCAGGCUCCAUCCGUGCGGGUACAGUUGUACAACCUCUACAGGGUGUAUAAACC